UGAGUACGAGCUGCUACGGCAGCGAAGUGGGUGACGUCAAGCUUCCAAGAAAAGCCCUACACCCGUUAAGGCAUGAUGGCCUGUACCCGAAACCGACACAGGUGGGGUGGUAGAGAAUACCGAGGGGCGCGAGGUAACUCUCUCCAAGGAACUCGGCAAAAUGGCCCCGUAACUUCGGGAGAAGGGGUGCCACCGCAAGGUGGUCGCAGUGAAGAGGCCCAGGCGACUGUUUACCAAAAACACAGGUCUCCGCUAAGUCGCAAGACGAUGUAUGGGGGCUGACGCCUGCCCAGUGCCGGAAGGUUAAGGAAGCUGGUCAGCGCAAGCGAAGCUGGCGACUGAAGCCCCGGUGAACGGCGGCCGUAACUAUAACGGUCCUAAGGUAGCGAAAUUCCUUGUCGGGUAAGUUCCGACCCGCACGAAAGGCGUAACGAUCUGGGCGCUGUCUCGGAGAGAGGCUCGGCGAAAUAGAAUUGUCUGUGAAGAUGCGGACUACGUGCACCCGGACAGAAAGACCCUAUGAAGCUUUACUGUAGCUUGGUAUUGUGCCCGGGCUCUGAAUGCGCAGGAUAGGUGGGAGGCUUUGAUCCAUUGCUUGUGGGUGAUGGUGAGCCAACGGUGAGAUACCACUCUUUCAGAGCUAGGGUUCUAACGGUCACCCGUUAUCCGGGGACCGGACAGUAUCAGGUGGGCAGUUUGACUAGGGCGGUCGCCUCCUAAAAGGUAACGGAGGCGCGCAAAGGUUCCCUCAGGCUGGUUGGAAAUCAGCCGAUGAGUGUAAAGGCAGAAGGGAGCUUGACUGUGAGACCUACAAGUCGAACAGGGACGAAAGUCGGCCUUAGUGAUCCGACGGUUCUGAGUGGAAGGGCCGUCGCUCAACGGAUAAAAGUUACUCUAAGGAUAACAGGCUGAUCUCCCCCAAGAGUUCACAUCGACGGGGAGGUUUGGCACCUCGAUGUCGGCUCAUCGCAACCUGGGGCUGAAGUCGGUCCCAAGGGUUGGGCUGUUCGCCCAUUAAAGCGGUACGCGAGCUGGGUUCAGAACGUCGUGAGACAGUUCGGUCCAUAUCCGGUGCAUGCGCAGGAAUAUUGAGAGGAUUUCUCCCUAGUACGAGAGGACCGGGAGGAACGCACCUCUGGUGUACCAGUUAUCGUGCCAACGGUAAACGCUGGGUAGCCAUGUGCGGAGUGGAUAACCGCUGAAAGUAUCUAAGUGGGAAGCCCACCUCAAGAUGAGUAUUCCCAUGGCGUUAGCCAGUAAGGUCACGGGCAGAACACCCGUUGAUAGGCUCUACGUGGAAGCCGGGUAACCGGUGAAGCGGAGGAGUACUAAUAGACCGAGGGCUUGAC
rnacentral:rRNA from 1 species